ensembl:lncRNA novel transcript, antisense to CNBD1
UGCCUUCCACCAUGAUUGUGAGGCCUCCCCAGCCACAUGGAACUACCAGCCAACACUUACGGAAAAUAGAACCUACGUUGAAAUAUUGGGGGCUGGUUUCCUCUAUACAAGAGGAGUCAUGAAUAUUUAUGAAAGGAGAAAUCGCACAUGCACAGCAAGGCAAUUUACUUCUAUAGAAGGGUGCGCCCUCACAGAUGGAGCAAUGGAUGACCUGCCUGCAGAAGGAGCUACCCACUGAAGGUCUCUUCUCUGCUGAGAGCUGGACACUCAUUGGGAUGAACUGCCUGUGGAAAGGAGCUACCCACUUUGGGUCUCUAGAGAGCUGUUCUGUUGCUCAGUGAAGCUCCUGUGCAUCUUGCUCACCCUCCAAUUGUCUGCAUACUUCAUUCUUCCUGGACAUGGGACAAGAACUCAGGACCAAAUGGUGGGACUGAAAGAGCUAUGACACAAACAGGGCUCAAGAUUUAACAGCCAACAACAAAACAAAAUAAAGCAAAAUAAAUGUCAGAAUGUGUGAGCUAUCAGAUCAUUGGCCUGUGGAUAUUCAAGUCUGAACUGAAUUUGAAUUGUCUCUUUUCGGGGAAAUGAUGCACAUUGUAUCAUGUCAGGCAAUAAUUUUUUGUAUAUGUUAUGGAUAGUUUGUAUGUAUGUGUGUGGUGGGGAUGGUAUGAAUGCAUGUGCUGGCUGGGAAGUAAAGCGAUGAACUGCAACAGAUCCCAAUUUAGUUUUGUUUAACACUGACCCCUUCUUUGGAAACAUCACCACCCCUAUUCAGUGAACUGCAACUCCACUCAUAUUCACAUGGUCCUUGGCCUCUUAGGCCACAGAAGGUUAGUUUUGAAAUAGUGACUUGAACCAAAGUGAAGCAUUGAGAAUGCUGUUCAACCCUUAAGUAUUAAUGAAUCCCUUAAGCCUAUCCUUGUAAAACCUGCCUGAAUUUAGAAAACUAAACUAAGGUUUAGUUUUAAUGUAGACCAUAUUUUAGUUUUAACCUGUUUUUUAUUGUAAAAUUUAGUGACUAAAAAAUGUUUCUUCAUUUACCAAAAGUAUUCAUUUGAAGACUCCUUUUAGUAGGAAUUUUUUAAUUCUUAUAAACACUAUAUAGAGAAAACUAUGUGCCAAGAAAAUGAAUCUUUAUUGAAUUAACAGAAACAAUUAAAUCUGAAUUACUUUGGACAUCAGUAAAAUAUAAUUUCUAAGGAAAUAUAUCUUAUGAAAUUCACCAAAAUGUCAAUUGAUAUAAAAGUUAAGGUGUAAUGAAGUAUUUAACAUACUAGUAACAUAAUUUGUUUCAUUGUACUCAGUAUCAUAAUCUCUAAAGAGGUGGAAAUAGCAGAAAACAGCAUGGUAGAAAGAAAGAGAGGUUUAUAAUCUGUGUGCGGCAGAAUGAAUGAGAGAAAUUGAAUUGAAAAUGAUAUUUAGGCUCAUUAACAUACUAUGAAAACUUUGUCCAAAUUUUUAAAAUUGAAAUUAUCUAAAAUAUAGAAACAGAUUAGAUAUUUCAGAAAGUGUAUUUUUCACAGGGUCAAUUUUAAGACAGUGUUAGGAGCAAAAUAACUAUUUCUACAUAAAAAUGAUUUAAAAGCCAAGUAAAUGUACUUUAAAUGUAAAAAUGUAGAUCCUCAUAAACAAGCUACUGAAUAAUGUAUAUUAAAUUACAUUUAGAGUACUAGUAUUAUCCGGUGUUUAAUACAGAAAUGGAAAAAGUAAAGAUUUGGAAAACAAUGAUUUUCUUGUUUUGUUUUGAAUUUGAAAAAUGGCUUAAAUAUAAAUAGCAUAUUACCAAAUUGUUUAAAACAACACUCCAAAACUUGAAAGUACAUUGAAGAGCUGAAAAAGCUUCAUUAAAAUAAAGCAAUU